rnacentral:rRNA from 1 species
UGGGUGCUUCGGCGCCCGAACUCCCACCCUUUGUUGUCGCGAAUUUGUUGCCUCGGCGGGUUGUCCCCACGGACGACGGGCUCCGGCCCACCCGCCGCAGGACACUUACAACUCUGCUUUAACGGUAAAGUCUGAGCAAAAUUCUAAAUGAAUCAAAACUUUCAACAACGGAUCUCUUGGUUCUGGCAUCGAUGAAGAACGCAGCGAAAUGCGAUAAGUAAUGUGAAUUGCAGAAUUCAGUGAAUCAUCGAAUCUUUGAACGCACAUUGCGCCCCUUGGUAUUCCGAGGGGCAUGCCUGUUCGAGCGUCAUUUCACCAAUCAAGCCACGCUUGGUAUUGGGAGCCGGCCCCCGCCACGUGCGGAGGCCCCCCCGAAAUGCAUCGGCGAGGAAACCGACCCCCGGCGUGUUAGAUUUCUGAACGUCAGGAGCACCGGUUGACUCCGCCGUACAAUCUUUUUUUACAAGGUUGACCUCGGAUCAGGUAGGAAUACCCGCUGAACUUAAGCAUAUCAAUAAGCGGAGGAAAAGAAACCAACAGGGAUUGCCUCAGUAACGGCGAGUGAAGCGGCAACAGCUCAAAUUUGAAAUCUGGCCCCUUUGGGGUCCGAGUUGUAAUUUGGAGAGGAUGUUUUUGGGUGUCCGCCGGCCUAAGUCCCUUGGAACAGGGCGUCAUAGAGGGUGAGAAUCCCGUAUGUGGUCGGAAAGGUACCCUCCGUAAAACUCCUUCGACGAGUCGGGUUGUUUGGGAAUGCAGCCCUAAAUGGGAGGUAAAUUUCUUCUAAAGCUAAAUACCGGCCAGAGACCGAUAGCGCACAAGUAGAGUGAUCGAAAGAUGAAAAGCACUUUGGAAAGAGAGUUAAACAGCACGUGAAAUUGUUGAAAGGGAAGCGCUUGCGAUCAGUCUCGACGGCGGCCGUUCGGCCUCUCUUCUGAGUGGUUUACUCGGUCGCCGCCGGGCCAGCAUCAGUUUCGGCGGCUGGAUAAAGGUUGCGGGAAUGUGGCCCUCCUCGGGGGGUGUUAUAGCCCGUUUCGUAAUACAGCCAGCCGGGACUGAGGUCCGCGCU